UAGGGAAUCUUCCGGCAAUGGGCGAAAGCCUGACGGAGCAAUGCCGCGUGAGUGAUGAAGGUUUUCGGAUCGUAAAGCUCUGUUGCCAGGGAAGAACGCUUGGGAGAGUAACUGCUCUCAAGGUGACGGUACCUGAGAAGAAAGCCCCGGCUAACUACGUG
rnacentral:rRNA from 1 species